rnacentral:rRNA from 1 species
AGAGGAUGACCAGCCACACUGGAACUGAGACACGGUCCAGACUCCUACGGGAGGCAGCAGUGGGGAAUAUUGCACAAUGGGCGCAAGCCUGAUGCAGCCAUGCCGCGUGUGUGAAGAAGGCCUUCGGGUUGUAAAGCACUUUCAGCGGGGAGGAAGGCGAUAAGGUUAAUAACCUUGUCGAUUGACGUUACCCGCAGAAGAAGCACCGGCUAACUCCGUGCCAGCAGCCGCGGUAAUACGGAGGGUGCAAGCGUUAAUCGGAAUUACUGGGCGUAAAGCGCACGCAGGCGGUCUGUCAAGUCGGAUGUGAAAUCCCCGGGCUCAACCUGGGAACUGCAUUCGAAACUGGCAGGCUAGAGUCUUGUAGAGGGGGGUAGAAUUCCAGGUGUAGCGGUGAAAUGCGUAGAGAUCUGGAGGAAUACCGGUGGCGAAGGCGGCCCCCUGGACAAAGACUGACGCUCAGGUGCGAAAGCGUGGGGAGCAAACA